rnacentral:lncRNA from 1 species
AUGAAUGAUUGUGUACAUUGCAUAGAGAUGGAAAGGGAGGUGAAAAUGUGUCAAUAAAUUGGUCAAAGGUGCAGUAACAUGUGGUACACAAGGCAUUGGAUUCCAAAUGUGAAUGAUGGAGCAUCAAUUGGUGCAUGUUAUGGUUGUGAAAGUUGUAUAAAAUUUUGUGGGUGAAUGGAACAAGAGGUAUCAAGCAAUUAAGUGUAAUAAUUAAAUGAAUUGAAGUAUGAAAUCAGAAAUUAUGUAGGGGACAAGAGUGAUCAAGCAUGGCAUGGGAAUCCAAAGGGAAUUCUAUGUUGUUUUGCAUGACAAUGAAGGCAAGUUGGGGUGACAAAUUUUUGGGCUGAGUUCUUCAUCUUUUGGACCAUAAUUCUU